rnacentral:rRNA from 1 species
CAGCAGCCGCGGUAAUACGUAGGGUGCAAGCGUUAAUCGGAAUUACUGGGCGUAAAGCGUGCGCAGGCGGUUAUAUAAGACAGAUGUGAAAUCCCCGGGCUCAACCUGGGAACUGCAUUUGUGACUGUAUAGCUAGAGUACGGCAGAGGGGGAUGGAAUUCCGCGUGUAGCAGUGAAAUGCGUAGAUAUGCGGAGGAACACCGAUGGCGAAGGCAAUCCCCUGGUCCUGUACUGACGCUCAUGCACGAAAGCGUGUGGAGCAAACAGGAUUAGAUACCCCCGUAGUCCCUGUCUCUUAUAC